UACGUAGGGUGCGAGCGUUGUCCGGAAUUAUUGGGCGUAAAGAGCUCGUAGGCGGUUUGUUGCGUCGGCUGUGAAAUCCCGAGGCUCAACCUCGGGUCUGCAGUCGAUACGAGCAAACUAGAGUGUUGCAGGGGAGACUGGAAUUCCUGGUGUAGCGGUGAAAUGCGCAGAUAUCAGGAGGAACACCGGUGGCGAAGGCGGGUCUCUGGGCAACAACUGACGCUGAGGCGCGAAAGCAUGGGGAGCGAACGGG
rnacentral:rRNA from 1 species